CUGGCAGGUCACUUUCAGAAGUGCAGUUAUCUGUUUCUCAUUCAAGCGCUUUGAGUACCUUUGUCCCUCUACAAUCUUGCAGACUUCCAUUGGUAAGUAAUUAGGUCUCUGCUGAUUUCCAACUUGCAGACAAGGCCACUGGGUAUGCUGAAUAACAAACCCAUAAGUUUCUCGAAAAUAUUCAAUUACAGAUUUCAAAGUGCCCUUUUCAUCAACAGGGAAAGUUAACUCUCUUGUUGCUUGAGAUGUUAAAUUGGCGAUGCGGUACUUCCGCCGCAUAUUUCCACGAUGAGUAACCUCCACCUUCACACCUCUCAGUGCUUUUUUGAUCUUUACACGGUCAGCAUCAGACAGUGGUCUAGAUGACACAUCCCGGUUCAGAAGCUGUGCCACAAAAUCAACGACCAGCAAUGGCUCAAUGAAGGAAGUGGAAGACAUGUCGAUGUUCAAUGAUAAUCCCAUUUGUGUAGGGCGAAUACUUUGAUAGAAACCCCGCCAGCUCUCUAAACCCUCUCCCAAUGGUUGUCGUCUCCCUAAAUUAGGAGAAUAGAAAGAACGACCUACUGGACAAUACUUAGAUGUUGGCAACUCACGCAGCACAAUAUCCAGAACCUGCAGCGCCUCCUGGGGUGCAUCAGCCUGCCUCCCUUCUAAAAACAUCCCUAAGUGAUGAAGAUCGGCUCGGGAAGCGAAUUUGAUCACAACUUUGAAUUCCCUAUCCCUCCUGGCACCACCAGGCCCAUCCUCAUCAUCAGUAAGAGUGAUUUUGAACUCUUUUUGAACAAAUGGAAGGGGCCCUGCAGUGUAUAGACUUUUUCUUCCAUCAUAAGCUGGAAGUCUCUUUCCAAGAUGAGAUUCUUGGUAAAGAAGCACCAGCUGUGCCAUGACAGCACGGUUGACCCCUCGUGAAGAUACUUCUGGAGUAAUGGUGACAUCAUACUGAUGCAAGUCUUUGUCAGGCAGCUCAGCAAAGAAGUGAUUGGCUUUCACUAUGCAACUCUGACCAAACUUUCCCUUCCCUGGACGCAGCGGAAACCUUAGUGAUUUGCUUGACACAGGUGGAAUUGUAUGGGUUGCAGCUGCUUCUGGCUGCACAGCCAGUUGCUGGAACUGUUGUGUCACUUGCAGAGCUGACAUCUCAGGUGGCUCAGAUGAGGAACCCACUUCCAUGGAUGUGUCAGCUGGUCUUCCACAAGUAAUGGGCUGAGUAGUCAUUACAGCUUGAUGUUGAGUCUGUGUGGUUGCUUGGUGCAGCUCGGGAAUUGGUGGCCUAGAAGGCCCACCAGAAGGUGCUCCACGGCCACCUAUGCCACCAUGUUGCUGGAGUGGUCCUCCACCUCGUUGUUGAUGCUGCUGAGUCCCUCUGCCCUGCUGAUAGUAUUCAGCCUGUCCACCAUAUGGCUGUUGAGGGGCCAUUCCACCACGUGGAGCUCCUCCACUACCACGGCCACCAUACCCUCCCUGUUGUGGCCUCCAACCUCUUCCUCCACCUUGGUAACCACCUUCUUGUUGUAGCUGCUGUGGUGGACGCUGGCCACGACCCUGUCCACCACCUUGGUAGCCACCUUCUUGUUGUGACUGCUGGGGAGGAGGACGCAUGCCGCGACCCUGUCCUCCACCUUGGUAGCCACCUUCAUGUUGAUGCUGCUGGGGUGGACGCUGGCCACGACCCUGCCCUCCACCUUGGUAGCCACCUAAUUGUUGUUGAUGCUGUGGUGGUGGACGCAUGCCACGACCCUGUCCUCCACCUUGGUAUCCACCUUCUUGUUGCUGCUGGGGUGGAUACUGGCCACGACCCUGUCCCCCAACAGUUUCUUGAGACCCAGAGCUCUCACCUGAACCAGGUAACUCACUUCUCCUCUUCCUCGCCAUCUUAUCACCUCAAAAGACGUCGCCGCCGUAAAAGCCAAAUUCCGUUCUCUCCAGUAAACCACAGCACCCAAAACGUACACAGAAAAUUAAUAGAAAAAAAAAACGGCAGAAAAAGUACUGAGAGAGAGCUAGAGAGAGAAAAGGAGUGAGGGGUGAAG
rnacentral:misc_RNA from 1 species